rnacentral:rRNA from 1 species
CAAUAGCGUAUAUUAAAGUUGUUGCGGUUAAAAAGCUCGUAGUUGGAUUUCUGCUGAGGACGAUCGGUCCGCCCACUGGGUGAGUAUCUGGCUCGGCCUUGGCAUCUUCUUGGAGAACGUUGCUGCACUUGACUGUGUGGUGCGGUAUCCAGGACUUUUACUUUGAGGAAAUUAGAGUGUUUCAAGCAGGCGCACGCCUUGAAUACAUUAGCAUGGAAUAAUAAGAUAGGACCUUAGUUCUAUUUUGUUGGUUUCUAGAGCUGAGGUAAUGAUUAAUAGGGAUAGUUGGGGGCAUUCGUAUUUAACUGUCAGAGGUGAAAUUCUUGGAUUUGUUAAAGACGGACUACUGCGAAGGCAUUUGCCAAGGAUGUUUUCAUUGA